AGGCGGAUGAAAAACUGUUUUUAGCUGAGAUCACCCAGAUGGCAAAAAGGAAGGAAACAAAGUGACAAUUUUGACCUUAGAAAGCCACAUGGUAGUAAGGAAAGUCAACCUGAGCUGAACUCCCAUUUCCCCUUUGAUGGCUCCAUAAAUGUUAAAUUACUUUGCAAAUAUUUUCAAAUGAGUGGUUUUGCAAGUAGGAGUGAUGGAGAAAGAAAGGGGGAGAAAGGUUAACAGCCACACAUAAAACAACCAGCCCCUACAGUCUAUGGCCAAUUUUUACAGCUGGGUUUUUAUAAACUCCUUGAAGAGCUGGGCAAGGGACGAGUUUAUGAUUGUUGCCAUGGCAGUCUUGUAAUUUUUGCCAAAAUAUUGUGGCACUGGAGCAGAUGUACUCUGGGGAGGCGGGCAGAGCGAUUGGGACACACAUGAAGGAAUUUAAGACCCUCUCAUUAAAUAUCUCGGCAAAGAAUGUACCACGGAACCAUCGCUGGAUCUAAUUAGCUGUAGAGUGAAAGAAGCCAUAACAAGCUUGUUUGUUUGAGCAGGGACAAAAUCUGUAACUCUUAUCUCGGGCCAGGCAUCGUGCAAGGCACCACGUUCUCACCAAUCAACAGGACAGAUGUGUCCUUGUCUUCAUAGGGCCCUUUUGGGACCCAGAACAAUGGCAUCUCUUCAGAGCAAAGCUCCGAGGUGAGCAGGGGGUAUUCUUAGUCUACUAACCAGAAGGACGAUUAAAUGAUUUGUCACCGUUGCAACAAAUCGGAGUGACAGAAAGUCUGGUCGAUUGGCGGAAGAUAACUGGCUAUUGUAGUACGUAUAGACAUAGUGAGUAAUUCUCUGAUUUCUAUGCUUAAUAGUUUCUGAUUUUACCAUGAGGUAGAUUCUCCAUAGUAUCUUUCAUAUAAAUUCCUCAUACAUACUUUUAUAUAAUAUUAAAGACAUAUUUGACUUUGCUUUCAGGAUUUGUACUAAUGGUAUAACUUCACAUACUAUCAAAAGUGAGUAUUUAGGGGGCACCUGGGUGGCUCAGUCGGUUAAGCGUUUGACUUCGGCUCAGGUCGUGAUCUUGCGGUUCACGAGCUCGAGCCCUGCGUCGGGUUCUCUGCUGUCAGCACAAAGCCUUCUUGGGGUCCUCUGUUCCCAUCUCUCUCUGCCCUUCUGCCUUUUGCGCUCUCCUUCUCUCAAAAAUAAAUAAGUGUUUAAAAAGAAAAGCAUUUAGUGUGGCUUGGGUGAUGUGAAUGGCAAAUAUCUCCUAUUCACCCUGAACAUAGCAGGAAAGAGAGAGGAAAUUCAACCGACUUUGACAAAGUCACAGAAUAGUAAACACCCAAGAGGGGCCUGAGUAUUGUUAAUAUGAAAAAAAAAACCAAACAACAACAUGAGCCCACAUUUAGCCAUAUUAUCACACUAGGCACAGACAUCCUUCCAAGCCUAGGUACAGGCCAGCAUAAGCCAAGGAACGCUAGCUUUAGCAGAAAGCUCUGGGCAGUUCUAGUCGCAUUGGUAUCUACUGAAGAUACCGAAGGAGCUCCAUUCAGCAGUGGGUUUAGAGGGAAUGACCAAAGACUAAGCAUAAGCCUGGGUAAAUAUUGUAGCCUCUACCAGCUGCCCUUCCCUGGCUGACCUUGGAGCUUAAGGGCCUGACAACUGUGAACUUUAGCAGUUGUGGAAAUAAGAUACUGGAGUUUCCUUACUGCUACCCCAACAGCUCAUGCGAUUCACCCAGUUGAAAUGUGGUUACUGAAGGCCUGUUCUGCAAUAGGCAUUGUACAGGUGUUAAGGAUGCAGUCCUGGGCAAGACACUGUCCUUGUGUAGUUCAGUGAAUCGGUGGUGUGGAGUAUGAGCUGGUGGUCUGGAUAGGUCAGUAAACUGAUUUUUUCGACUGCUUUGAGUUGAGUUAUCCUUGCCCAGGUCCCGCUGAUGAUCUCUGUCAUCCAGGCAGACAUUAGGACAAGGACCUCUACUCCAAGGUCGGGUGUGGCUGACACAAAGGGGAAAGUGUCUUGGAGGUCCGCUUACCUAGCAUUCUGCGUGUGCAGGAGGUCACAGAAGGAUGUGUCACAGUUCCCAACACCUCCUCUGUCCUUGGUGGGUCUGUAUUACUCGCAUAGCAGCUAUUCAACACUGCUAAAUGGAUGUGCCCAAAUAGAAAAUGGUAUCUACAUUCCAGCUUCCCUAACUGUUCAAAACCAAGCACUUCUCGGGAGCCAUCCCCUUCUGCAAAGCGGCGUAUAUAAACCCGCUAACAUACAGGUGCAUGUCCGAAAGAGACAUUUGAAAGAACAACAGCAGGGGACAUGGGGCUCAUGGCACAAUGGCAUAUAUUUUCAUGGGAUUCAUGGUAGAUUGCCUUGUAAAUUCUCAAA